GCUUCUGCCCAUAGAAAACUUAGGCCUGUCUGAUCUCAGAAGCUAAGCAGGAUCAGGCCUGGUUAGUACCUGGAUGGUAGACUACUUAGGAAGACUGGGUGCUGGAGGCA
rnacentral:rRNA from 1 species